rnacentral:rRNA from 1 species
AACGAACGCUGGCGGCAUGCCUAACACAUGCAAGUCGAACGAGACCUUCGGGUCUAGUGGCGCACGGGUGCGUAACGCGUGGGAAUCUGCCCUUGGGUUCGGAAUAACAGUUGGAAACGACUGCUAAUACCGGAUGAUGACGUAAGUCCAAAGAUUUAUCGCCCAGGGAUGAGCCCGCGUAGGAUUAGCUAGUUGGUGGGGUAAAGGCCUACCAAGGCGACGAUCCUUAGCUGGUCUGAGAGGAUGAUCAGCCACACUGGGACUGAGACACGGCCCAGACUCCUACGGGAGGCAGCAGUGGGGAAUAUUGGACAAUGGGCGAAAGCCUGAUCCAGCAAUGCCGCGUGAGUGAUGAAGGCCUUAGGGUUGUAAAGCUCUUUUACCCGGGAUGAUAAUGACAGUACCGGGAGAAUAAGCCCCGGUUAACUCCGUG